UGUUAUGGCCAUACCACCCUGAAUGUACCCAAACUCAUCUGAUCUUGGAAGCUAAGAAAGGUCAGGCCUGGGUAGUACUUGGAUAGGAAAGCAUUCAGCUUUAUUGC
rnacentral:rRNA from 1 species